CCUGUGAAGAACUAGGAGCAGGAUAGUCAUGAUUAAGCUCUUCUAUCUUCUCUGAAAACUUAGUAACCUGGCACAGAAAUGUGGCUGUAUGAGUAAGUUCUGGAGCCAAUAUGCCCAAAGUAACAGGGCAUCUCUGUAUGGAAGUGUCUUGCACAUACCAGCAAAGUCUGGAGCAGAUACAGGAAUUAAAGCCACAUCCUCAGGGGCAAAAAGUAUCAAGCCUAACCCGUGAGUCUCCUUUUUUUACCAUUCAAUCUGCUACCAUGGGGAGGAUAACUUCACUGAUCGGUCACUGUUGUUCUAACCAGAUAAACAGAAGGUGCCAGUUAUCGUUCACUGGGGCAAAUGACUCCCCAAGAGGUAGUGUAACUCAGAACCAUCUCAUGAUUUCAAACGUAGGAAAAGUUAAACUGAUUUGUAGAUUUUGAGACUAAUUAGUUUUUCUGUGUCAGUGAUUCAUGGCACGGAUCAAACUGCACAGCAUAAUCCAAUUGCCAGCUUUAAUAACGGGUUCACACUGCAUAAAUCUAGCUUCAAAACCAGGGAGACUUCGUCUUCCCUGCCUUGCACUUUAUUUAAUCAUUAUACUAUGGUGGAUUUGCAAAAUGCAAGUCACUAAAGAGUGUAUUAAAGCACUACAGGUCAGGAUAUUGCCCCUUAUUUUAUAGCAUAGUGCAAUUUAAGUGCAGUGCAGAAAACAAACAUCACAACUUUUCUGUGACUACCCAGUCCCACUGCAAGAACAACUUCUAGGACUUUAUCCCCAGCAUGCCUUUCUGCAAACUUACCCUUUAAAUUAGAAGGGAAACAGCAGCUGUGGCCCUAAACCAUCCAUUUUGCAGUUGCUUCUUGCUUUGACUCCUUUCCUUCUAACUGAGAUGCAUCUCCAGAACAUCUUAUGGGAUCAGAUCUGUGCUUUGCUACGUUCCUCUGCCAUACUGAGGCUGGAUAAUAGCAGUCAGUCUGUGGAUCCAUCCUUGAAGGAGAAGACAUGUAUUCUAGGCUUGGAAAUGCUAAUGAUGGAUAAUUCAUGGAUAGGAUGUGAAGGAGGUAUUGAAGCAUGUACUGGACAGGGGAUUAAGCAAGGAGCUCAUGAAUGGUCAAAUCUGCUUUGUUCUGAAGACUAAUAGUGAGAUGGAUACACUUUCCUCCAGCCUUUCAACAUACAGAACUCAAGGCUGAUUCAGAACAGUUUCGUGCCAGAAUAAAUCAGGAGUAAUUCCUUUGAAAUCCUUUGAAUUCCAAUAGUUUUAAACCUAUGAAAGUAAGAGAAGAAACAUGCAAUUGUCUUCAACCAGGGACACAAUACUGCUUAAUAAAUCAUCAUAUCAGCAGCUGCAAAGCACCAGGGAACGGGGCAGUAACUGAUGUUGCUGUCCAGAGAUCCAUGGAGGUUAUUGAUCAUCCUGAGCUGUUAACAUCUCCACAGCUCUGCAGCACAGGGCCUUAGAAGAAAUAAGAAUAUGGAGAGGAUCUGUGACUAUAUGCACUUACCAGCUAAAUAUACAGCAUUACAGACUUUUAUGUUAAUAUUCCUAAAUUCAUCUAUAGGAUUAUGAACACUGUUUUUGUGAAUAUACCCACCUCUGUGUGCAAAACACCACAUUUUCGAAGGAAGACAUGUCUUUUCAUAAGUCAGCAGGUGACUGGACAGUGCUUUAUUAAAAAAAAAAUAAAUUAGCAAUUUUCCAGCCUGUAUAUACCAAAUAUAGGGUUUGUUCAGACAAAGCAGAUCAGCCUGUCAAUAUUCCAGCAAGAGAGAGAGGUUAUAAUGGGCAUAAGGAAUGUAAAACUAAAUAAAUACAAUAUACAAAUAAAAGGGAACUCAGGUCAGGAGAUUGCUUGCUUCAUUUAUAUUUUUAUUUAAAGAGAAAUAUGUGGGACAGAUUCCCGACCCAACCUCAUAAAGCUUUUUAAUACUGCUAUGACCAUGGUUGAGGCAUAAACAAAAGCUACAACUUUACUUGAACCAAACUGUGAAAUGGGUGAUGGCUAUGGGUUUUCCUGAAGUCUUCAGUCAGGCACAUUUGUUGCAUCCAUGAUCCCAAAUGAAGAAAAUUCA